ensembl:lncRNA
GAAAUACAGUUAGAUUAUAGUAUACCUAGUGAGCUAAUCAAUUUAAAUAGCUCUCUAAAAUAUACCAACAUAACUAUCGGACAAGAUGCAUUUUUGUGUAUAUUAAAUAAAGAGAAUGCUGAUAAUCCAAAUGAGCUGACAUGUAAGGAAGAGUAUAACAUUUUUAAAAAUUUAAAUACUAAUGAUAUUAAUAAUUAUUUAGAAGAAAAAUUAAAUACAAACUAUAUUUUAAAAUAUGAAAAAGAUAACAUAAGUUAUAAAUUGUUGUUAUACGAUGAGGGGAUAGUAAGUAGCAACACCGGUACCGGUACUACUACUGACCGCAUUAAUGGUCCCGAUUGGAUCCACAAGAACAACAGAAAAUACAACAAAAAUGAAAUAAACAAAAUAUUUACUUGUAAUUUUGAAAAGCUAUAUGACUAUAUAUUUUAUAAACAUAAAUUUAAUGUAUACCAUAAGAAUAGAUUAUAUAAAAAUAUAAAUGAAGAAUCACAAUUAAAAGAACAUAUUAUUAAAGGAAAAAUGAUGACUAUAAAUAAUGUAUGUGUUGAUUAUUUUUAUUAUAAUGAAAAUAUAUUAAAAAUAUGUUUAAAUAAAUUUAUAUCAUUUAUUACAAAUAAUUAUUCUCCAUUCAAUAAGUUCAGUAAUAAAAAAAAAAAAAAAAAAAAAGUUUUAUCCAUUUCUAAUUAUAUAAACGGUUUAGAUUUAUUAUUUUCUAAUAAUACUAUUGUACAAUAUUAUACAGAUAAUUUUAAUUUUUUUGAAGUAUUAUACAUAUGUGGUAAUAAUAAUUUAAGAAUAAAUAGUUUUGAAUUACUAGAUAGGAAUUACUAUCCUCUAUUUUUUCAAAUAUAUUUAUACACCAACUUAAACAUAACCAAACUUUAUAAUAUUAUUUUAAAUAAAAUAAAAUAUAAUGAAACUUAUUUUUUUAAAACUUUCUCUAUGUAUACAUAUAAUGAUAAUUAUUAUACAGCACUAAAAAAUAAAUUGAAUGAAAAUAUCAAUGCCUAUUACCCAAAUGUAAAAAAUAUAUACCGUAUUACUUUAAGUGCUUAUUUAUUUUGUGACUACACUAAUAAAAUAAACCCACCCAAUCAUUAUUUAGUUAAAAAUUUAAUGAAUAAAUGUUUUAAUUUUAUAAAAGAUGAUGAUUAUAUUUAUGAAAUAUGUUUACCUUAUAGUGUUGUGAAAUAUAAAAAAGAUGAAUAUGGAAAAAUAAAAUAUCCAAUUGUUUCAUUAGGUUCUUCAUAUGUUUCUAAUAAUGAAGGAAUUCCAUUUUAUGAAAAAACAUAUGACAUUUUCCCAGUAACCAAAAUGGAAUUUAUGAUGAAAAAAAAUGUAGAAAAUCUUUUAAAAAAAAAAAAAAAAGAAAUACUAAAAAGUAAUAAUUUUUUUGCACAACAUCAACAUAUGAACAAAAAUGACAAUAUUUCAAAUACAAGUAGUAAUGGUAGUAGUGGCAACACUAAUAAUAAUAUCCAAAAAAGUUAUUUUAAUAUGCCUCACGAAUAUCCGCCAGUUUCAUCUCAUCUGCAACUUUCUUCACAGACGCUGGUCGGUGCAAAUGCAGUUGCAGACACAGGUACUGACCAAGGUAAGGGUACAGGUACUACCACCGGUAGUGGUACUUCUACUGCCACAGAUAGUGGUACUUCUACUGUCACAGGUAGUGGUACUUCUACUGCCACAGGUAGUGGUACUUCUACAAAUAUGAGUAUUGGUACUGCCACAAGUACUGGUACCGGAAACAGUAACACUCAAAACAGUAGCACCCAAAACAGUAGCACCCAAAACAGUAGCACCCAAAACAAUAACACCACUGUAGAUACAAACAACUUAAACACCAUUUUUGGCUCAAUCCCAAUUUCUACGCCUGGCUCCAAUGAAUUUCCAGAUACACCCAAUUUGCCAUACCUACCCAACAUAUUUACUUCGUUAAACCUAUUACAAAACUCAUCAUUUAUGAAUUUAUAUCUUUCUUACUUCUCAUUUUCUGUUAACCGAAUACCUUACAUGAGUGUAUACAUGAUGGAUAAACCAGAAGGACUAUUAAAAGUCGGUCCAUAUAAAUUUUAUAAAGUUUUAGCAUUCGACUUAAAAGGUGGGAAAUGUAAAGAUUCAUUAAAUCAAUUGUAUUAUUAUAUAACGACUAUUUAUUUUGAUUGUUCUUUGCAUCAUAAAAAUGAAACGCAUACAAGUAUCCUUAAUGUUUUCCAAACAACAGAAUGUCAUUAUUAUGUUCAUAUUUCAUCUCCUUUUUUAUGUGCACAUCCAACAUUACAUACCCCAGUCAAGCCUGAUAAGAAAGUUAUAAAAUGCUUUAAAAAUUUAUAUGCUGCUAGUUCCCAAUUUCAAGCAUAUUCUUCUGAAAAUAGUGUAUAUCAUUCCUUGUUUGAUCAAACUGAAAAAUCAUUAGAACAAAUGGAACAACACGAAGAAGAAGAAGAAGAAGAAGAAGAAGAAGAAAAUGAUAGUAACAUAUUCAAAGAACAAAUAAGACAUCCUUUUCAAACUGGAAACAAAAGUAACUACUACUAUAAUAUGGAAAAACAUAGUAACACACAUAGCUAUAAUAUUGGUGACAAUGAGAAUGAUUAUAUGUACAGUAUGGAAGAUGAUCAAUACAUAAGUAUAGAAGAUAAAUUAUAUUUAUACGAAUUUUAUAAAUUAAAACCUAAAAUACUUAAAAACAAAAACAUGUUCGCAUUUGAAGCAGUACCCAAUUAUAAAAAAAUUGAAUUUAGUAAGAUUUAUGAUUUUGGUUUAGGUAACUACAUAAGAAAAAGAGUAUAUAAGAAUAAUCCUGUCUUUCAUGUUGGUAAUGUAGUAAGGCAUAAGUAUUGGAACUAUGAAGCUGUUGUAGUUAGUUGGGAUUAUAAAUGCUUUGCUCCAGUUGAUUGGAAAAAUAAGUUUUUUUCUGAACAUUCAUCUGAAUUGCAAAACAAAGUUCACUAUCUUAUCUUAAUUAAUAAUGAAAAUAGUAAUAAUAGCGGCGUCGACAGUCGCAAUAAAACACACAAAAAAACGCAAAACAAAUCAUACAAAAAAAGGCAUAACGAAACAAGUAAUUACUCAAGCACAAAAGACGAACAUAACUACAUACAUGAAUAUAUUAUAAAAAAUAGUAAUAGUAAUAACAAAAAUGUAAAACAACAUUUGUAUAAAACAAACAAUGAAGAAGGUAUUUAUGAUGAAAUAAAUACUGAUGAGGUAAAAAAUACGGACGAUGAAAACUUUUAUGCUGAAGAACCAGAGUCGAGUUUGGUUUAUGGUGAUAAAAUGGUUUACAAUGAAUAUUUACCACACUUUUUUGAAAAAUAUAACGACUUCUUUCAUUUUUACAUUCCUAAAAAAAAUCACAUUGUUUGGAAAUUGUUUCCAUAUGAUUUGUUUAAUUUGAUUUUUUAAUAUGAAUUCAUACACCAAUUCAUUUUGUAAAGGAAAAAAAAAAAAAAAAAAAAAAUAAAAAAAUAGCUACUACAUAGCA